rnacentral:rRNA from 1 species
CGGCGCAAGUGUCGAGUGAAAUCCCAUCGCUCAACGAUGGAACGGCUCGGCAAACUGCGUCGCUUGAGGUCGGUAGAGGUGCUCGGAACUCUAGGUGGAGCGGUGAAAUGCGUAGAUAUCUAGAGGAACGCCUGAGGCGAAAGCUGGGCACUGGGCCGAUUCUGACGCUGAGACGCGAAAGCGUGGGGAGCAAACAGGAUUAGAUACCCUGGUAGUCCACGCCGUAAACGAUGCGCUCUAGGUGACGGAGCCUCUCACGGCGCCGCCGCCGAAGCAAAAGUGAUUAGUGCGCCGCCUGGGGAGUACGGCCGCAAGGCUAAAACUCAAAGGAAUUGACGGGGGCUCACACAAGCGGUGGAGCAUGUGGCUUAAUUCGAAGCAACGCGAAGAACCUUACCUGGGCUUGACAUGCUUGGAUGCUUUAUGGGGAUAACUCAUAAAGUUGCUCUUCGGAGUGAAACUUGCACAGGUGUUGCACGGCUGUCGUCAGCUCGUGCUGUGAAGUGUCGGGUUAAGUCCCUUAACGAGCGAAACC